AUAAAUAAGCGGAGGAAAAGAAACCAAACGGGAUUCCCUUAGUAACGGCGAGCGAAAAGGGAAAUGUCCAGCACCAAGUCUUGACAUCUACGGUGUUCAAGAGAUGCGGUGUUAAUGUAUCGACCCAUCGUGCACUGUUCCACAUUUCAAGUUCCUACGACCGGGACUUCCAGAGCGGGUGUAAGACCCAUAGAGAUGAGGAACCAGUGUAUGCUGAGCGAUGCAUUCUAGAGUCAGGUUGCUUGAGAGUGCAGCUUAAAGUCGGUGGUAAACUCCAUCCAAGACUAAAUAUUACAGCGAGACCGAUAGCAAACAAGUACCGUGAGGGAAAGUUGCAAAGCACUUUGAAGAGAGAGUUCAAAAGUACGUGAAACCACUGGGAGGCAAACAGAUGGAACCACGAAGUGUGCGCCUCGGUCGAUUCAAUCAUCACCAUUUGUCAGUUUUUGKYAAUUAGGAUCUUUUCGGAGAUUGAUUGCCAAGAAUUAUGAUGGAUGGUGUUGGUGCAUUUCGUGCCGGGGAUGCUAAGCCACGUUCAACUAGAGUUGGGACGGCUGUAAGAAAGAAUCCGAGAAAGGUGCCCGUCACGUGCUUGCAUUUGACGGUGUUAUAGWCUUGGAUUGGCACCGUCACCUAACAUACUGGUUGAUGCAAAUUCUCCAUUUGGAGUUGAACCAUGUCUGCCUGUGGCUGUUAGUCGAUGUUGCGUAAUGUUCUUUGCGUAUCUUUCGAUGCGAAAAGACUUUGCAAAGAUGUCGGCYAAUGGUUGCUUGCGUGASAUGGUGGAACUGUGGCGCGAGUAGGUCGGUCUCCAUCUGACCCGUCUUGAAACACGGACCAAGGAGCCUAUCAUAUACGCGAGUCGCACGGUCUUGUWUAGGCCUGUGAGGCGGAAUGAAAGUAAWGUUACGAGGCUUCGGCUGCAGUAACGGCUCGCCCACUUUGUUUAUUGGCAAUAUGGCGAAGCUGGAGCGUAUACGAUGGUACCCGAAAGAUGGUGAACUAUGCCUGGGCAAGACGAAGCCAGAGGAAACUCUGGUGGAGGUCUGUAGCGAUUCUGACGUGCAAAUCGAUCGUCAGACCUGGGUAUAGGGGCGAAAGACUAAUCGAACCAUC
rnacentral:rRNA from 1 species